UACCAGCACCCCGAGUGGUCGGGACGUUAUUGGGGCCUAAAGCAUCCGUAGCCGGUCCUACAAGUCUUCCGUUAAAUCCACCUGCUUAACAGAUGGGCUGCGGAAGAUACUAUAGGGCUAGGAGGCGGGAGAGGCAAGCGGUACUCGAGUGGGUAGGGGUAAAAUCCUCUGAUCCAUUGAAGACCACCAGUGGCGAAGGCGGCUUGCCAGAACGCGCUCGACGGUGAGGGAUGAAAGCUGGGGGAG
rnacentral:rRNA from 1 species